UGCCAAGAAGCCUAAACCCAAGAAAGUAGC
rnacentral:piRNA from 1 species